rnacentral:lncRNA from 1 species
GCUAUUUUGUUUUGUAUAUAGUAUAUUAAAUAUGAAACGACAUUAAAAUAUAAAAACUUUUAUAUAUAAAAUUUUUUGAAAACUUUUGGCAAUAAGAAAAUUCCUGUUCUAUUUAAGUAACUUAGAAUUGUUUUCUUCAAAAUUAAAAUAGAUCAAAAGUUUAAUGUAGAUUACUUAUUUUCUUUCAUUUCCCAUCAUGAAAAAACAUUCUGAAAACAGAGACAGAAAUAUUUAAAUAGAAAAUAAAUUCUGAAAUCUAUUGUUUAAACUAUUGGCAUAUAACUUCAGAUAUGCUUACAUUUUUCUAUAGUACUAAAAUAUUCAAUUACUUUUGCCCACAAUUGCUUGAAAUCAUAAUCUCAUUAAAUAAUUUAUAUUCAAUUUUUUUUUCUAAAAUCUCAACUUCAGAACUAGAAGAUUAUAUUAUUUUUUUAACAAUCAAAAACUUUUCUGAAUGCAUUUUAAUACUGACAGUUUUGAUGAUAAAUUUUUGUUUGAAAAUAAUUUUUUUUUUCUUUAGAUACUGGAGUACUUUUAAGAAAAUAAUGAAUAUUCUAAGGUCAUCUGUUUAAUAUGAAUAGCACUAAGGUCAUCUUAAGCCUUGAACCCUAAACAACCCUAACCUGAGACCUCUAACUUGAACCCUCAAUAAGCCUUGAACCCAAAAAAGUAAAAUAUGAUCCCUCUAAAGUUAUAAUCCUUAUAAAAACAAAUUUUAAAAUAGAUAAAUAAAUACAUUAAAUCGAUAUUCAAAUUUAUAAUUACUUACGAAAGAGUAUAUAAUAGCUAAUAUAUAUUAUUACUAAAACUACUAUCAAAAAGUUAUAAACAAAGUCCAUUGCACAUGUAAAUAAGUUGUAAAUAAUAUAAAUAGAUAUAUUUAUAGAAAAAGUUUGUAUAAAAUUCAAAUAUUUUCAUAUUGAAAGCAUCUUGUUCAAUACACAAGAAUGCUAAUGA